GGUUUGGCUAAAUUUUUUAAAAAUAUAAAUAUGUAUUAAAGAUUAAACAAUAAAAUAUUUUUUAACAUACAAAUACGUGUGGUCCAUCACCAAUCUGUUCCACGGGAAGAAGCUGUGCUUACCAAAUUGUUCUGCCUUCGAAACCAAUUUCUUGGAUUGGACCAUGUUCUGCUUCCAAACUAAAACGAAAUUCAUAUUUAUUAAAGGUUUAACAAUUCAAAUUUAAAAAAAAAACUCACAUUUCUGAAAAAUGCAACAUCAAUUAAAUUUUCCAUUUUCAA